GGAAGGUUGUGAAGCCUUCUGGAGCCAGGGUCUAGGUGGCAAAUGGGAAGGCCUUUGAGAGGUAUAGCCUCACCUUGGUUGAAGCCCUAUUUUCUGCUUGCUAGUUCACCAGAAUGUAAGCUGCCUCCCUCACUUCCCCACAGCCAUAUCCUGAGCCUUUCUGCCAUGAUGUCUCCACUAUGAUGGACAUCAGCUUCCUGAAACCAUGAGCCAAACUGAACAAUCCUCCUUCAUGUUGCUUCCAUCAUUUAUUCUCAUCAGUGAAAAACUAACCAAUAGAGGUUGUUAGGAUGAUGAAGAGACUAUUCAUCCUCGGUUCCUGUUUGAAGAACAUGACAUGCCCUGGAGUGCCUGUCAGUUUCUACAUCUGUUUAGUUCCACCAAACAUCUGAGAAGUAUUGUCGAGGAGAGCCACAGGCAAACAACAACUGAACAUUCUCAUCUCAACAAAGCCAAUAGUAGUCAUCUAAGCAUGGUGAUGCUCAUCCCUCACACGUGGUAAGACAGCAUGGACACAUGGAGCAA
rnacentral:lncRNA from 1 species